UCGAGAAUCAUUCACAAUGGGGGAAACCCUGAUGGUGCGACGCCGCGUGGGGGAUGAAGGGCUUAGGUCCGUAAACCCCUGUCAUUUGUGAGAAAUUCAUGCGAACUAAUAAUUCGUAUGUUGAUAGUAGCAAAAGAGGAAGGGACGGCUAACUCCGUGCCAGCAGCCGCGGUAAUACGGAGGUCCCAAGCGUUGUUCGGAUUCACUGGGCGUAAAGGGUGCGUAGGCGGUGGGGAAAGUUCGAUGUGAAAGCUCCAAGCUCAACUUGGAAACUGCAUUGAAAACUAACUCACUAGAGGAUCGGAGAGGGGAGUGGAAUUCUUGGUGUAGCAGUGAAAUGCGUAGAUAUCAAGAGGAACACCAGUGGCGAAGGCGACUCCCUGGACGAAUCCUGACGCUGAGGCACGAAGGCUAGGGGAGCAAACAGG
rnacentral:rRNA from 1 species